rnacentral:SRP_RNA from 1 species
GCCAGGCAUGGUGGCUCGUGCCUGUAAUCCCAGCACUUGGGAGGCUGAGGCAGGUGGAUCACCUGAGGUCAGGAGUUCGAUACCAGCCUGGCCAACAUGGUGAAACCCCGUCUCUG